AUUGAACGCUGGCGGCAGGCCUAACACAUGCAAGUCGAGCGGAUGAAGGGAGCUUGCUCCUGGAUUCAGCGGCGGACGGGUGAGUAAUGCCUAGGAAUCUGCCUGGUAGUGGGGGAUAACGUCCGGAAACGGGCGCUAAUACCGCAUACGUCCUGAGGGAGAAAGUGGGGGAUCUUCGGACCUCACGCUAUCAGAUGUGCCUAGGUCGGAUUAGCUAGUUGGUGGGGUAAAGGCCUACCAAGGCGACGAUCCGUAACUGGUCUGAGAGGAUGAUCAGUCACACUGGAACUGAGACACGGUCCCGACUCCUACGGGAGGCAGCAGUGGGGAAUAUUGGACAAUGGGCGAAAGCCUGAUCCAGCCAUGCCGCGUGUGUGAAGAAGGUCUUCGGAUUGUAAAGCACUUUAAGUUGGGAGGAAGGGCAGUAAGUUAAUACCUUGCUGUUUUGACGUUACCAACAGAAUAAGCACCGGCUAACUUCGUG
rnacentral:rRNA from 1 species